GACGAACGCUGGCGGCGUGCUUAACACAUGCAAGUCGAGCGGAAAGGCCCUUCGGGGUACUCGAGCGGCGAACGGGUGAGUAACACGUGAGUAACCUGCCCCAGGCUUUGGGAUAACCCUCGGAAACGGGGGCUAAUACCGAAUAUUCAUGCGCGGCGGCAUCGCUGGGUGUGGAAAGUUUUUCGGCUUGGGAUGGGCUCGCGGCCUAUCAGCUUGUUGGUGGGGUGAUGGCCUACCAAGGCGACGACGGGUAGCCGGCCUGAGAGGGCGACCGGCCACACCUGGGACUGAGACACGGCCCAGACUCCUACGGGAGGCAGCAGUGGGGAAUAUUGCACAAUGGGCGGAAGCCUGAUGCAGCGACGCCGCGUGGGGAUGAAG
rnacentral:rRNA from 1 species